CGGUGAAUACGUUCCCGGACCUUGCACACACCGCCCGUCAAGCCAAUGGAAGCUGGGUGUACCUAAAGUCGGUAACCGUAAGGAGCCGCCUAGGGUAAAACUAGUGACUGGGGCU
rnacentral:rRNA from 1 species